rnacentral:lncRNA from 1 species
ACUCCCAACAUGAUUACUUUCUCAAAAAUCGAAGAGGCACCGCUCCCCGAAUCUCGAGAGCCAGACUCUCACCAGGAUUGCUUUCUUAAAAAUCGAAGAGGCACCGCUAUCCGAAUCUCGAGAGCCAGACUCCUACCAGGAUCACUUUCUCAAAAAUCGAAGAGGCACCGCUCUCUAAACCUCGAGAGCCAGAUCCCCAAUAAGAUUGCUUGUUCAAAAAUCGAAGA